AUGAUGACGUACUGCCAUCUGCUGGUCCUGAAUGGAACUAACAUACUGCUAACACUCACUGUUUUACCGUGAUAUGAACCAGGUGUUCCGAUUUGUGUACUUGGCAAUCGCAACCAGACUCCGUUAACAAAAACAAUAAUUUUACAGGGCAGAGCACAGGAGUGGCUGAAGUAUCCCUGUCUCGAUCGACAAUCUGUCAUCUGUGGUUUUCAUUUGUAUCUGCUGGACUGAAGGUAAAACGGAAUGACCAUCACUUCAAUUCGUCCCUUUCAAGACAGGCUGAAGCUGGACUCGUGGAGGUCCCUCACUCCCCCGUGCCGAGUGCAGGGGCGGGUCGGAGUGUCCAGGUCUGGAGCGCCAUGGUCCCUCUUUCCUGAGUUGGCCACCGCAACAACUUCACCUAUGUAGGGCUCCCGUUCAACAGCUUUCACAGCCUGGCACUGGUGCAGGACGUGUUACCUUGGUGCCGCUGUAGAAGUCAUCUGCCGUGAUCGCGUUCAUGAAGCUCUCCUCCAGGUGGACGCUGGUGUCAAUACCCCCCGGGAUGACCAGUUUUCCCGAGGCGUCGAUCACUUUGGCUCCUC